rnacentral:rRNA from 1 species
GCAAUAAAUCUAGCCCSACAACCAUCAAACAUCCAUUCAUCCUUACAACCAAAACAAACAAAACAUUUCUACUCCUAAGUAUGGGUGACAGAAAAGCAUCUAAGAGCUUUAAAAUAGUACCGCAAGGGAACAAUGAAAUAUUAAUGAAAUAACACCAAGCACUACAAAGCAGAGCACAAACCUCGUACCUUUUGCAUCAUGAUUUAGCCAGUCAAAUCAAGCAAAACGCAUUAAAGUUUGACCCCCCGAAACAUAGUGAGCUACUUCAAAACAGCCUUAUGGGCCAACCCGUCUCUGUUGCAAAAGAGUGGGAAGAUUUUCAAGUAGAGGUGACAUACCUACCGAACUAUGUGAUAGCUGGUUGCUCGAGAAAAGGAUCUGAGUCCUCCAAUAAGCCUUCCAAUAAUAAAUACUACCCCACAAAGCUUAAAAGACAUUCAAAUAAGGGACAGCCUAUUUKRAAMMRGRAAMMRSCYYMAAWWWWRGGUAACACCACCUUCUAGUGACAAGUGGGCCUAAAAGCAGCCACCWUCCAAAAAGCGUCUCAGCCUAUCACCCCCCUCAACCACAAUUCCUCAAACAAUACCAAACCCCUAAACAAUAUUGAGCGAUUCUAUACAUAUAUAGAAAACCUAAUGCUAAAACUAGUAACAAGAAAAUGACACCUCUCCUAAAUGCCAACGCAAGCCAUUAACAAGGCAUCCACCGCCAUGAGCUAAAAGUAUGCAACACCCAAGAAAACCCUACUGUACUACAGCGUUAGUCCAACCAGGAACAUUUCAGGAAAGAUUAAACAAAGAGGAAGGAACUCGGCAAACCACUAAUCCCGCCUGUUUAYCAAAAACAYCGCCUUUUGAUAAAAUAUAAAAGGUCCAGCCUGCCCAGUGACAAGUUAAACGGCCGCGGUACCCUAACCGUGCAAAGGUAGCGMAAUCACUUGUUCUUUAAAUAAGGACUAGUAUGAACGGCACCACGAGGAUUAUACUGUCUCCCCCCUUCAAUCAGUGAAACUGAUCCCCCCGUGAAGAAGCGGGAAUAAACUUAUAAGACGAGAAGACCCUGUGGAGCUUUAAACCUACACCACCCAUCUCAAAAUACGCCAUAACAAACAGAUGAGCUUACGUACUAGUUUUAGGUUGGGGCGACCACGGAGUAAAACUAAACCUCCGCGAUGAAAAGACUUUACUUUCUAAUCCAAGAGCAACACCUCUAAGAAUCAACAAACUGACAUAAUUGACCCAAACACUUUGAUCAACGAACCAAGUUACCCCAGGGAUAACAGCGCAAUCCAUUUCAAGAGCCCCUAUCGACAAAUGGGUUUACGACCUCGAUGUUGGAUCAGGGUAUCCCAGUGGUGCAGCCGCUACUAAAGGUUCGUUUGUUCAACGAUUAAAACCCU